UGUGAAGGACAAGGGACUAAGGGCUCACAUCUGGUGAGGGUCCCCUUGCUUCUCAUCCUGUGGC
rnacentral:sRNA from 1 species